GCUGUAUUCUCAACCAGUUUGCUAUAACGAACAAAUACAUUUAAAGCUUUCGUCCGAUUAUGUUAUUGAAAUAGAAAUUGGUAAUUUGGCCGAUAAUUCAGACUUUAGUGAAUGAACCUUAAAACAUUUGGCCGUCACAAAGACUCCAAUGCAAUAUACAUCAUCCUGAAACGAUAGAGCAACUUAAAGCAAGUAGAGUUCAAAUAUAAUAAUAAAGCAUUUAAGGGAGAAUAUUGAUAACAGACGAUCAAUAACAAUAUGCUGAAAUA